rnacentral:rRNA from 1 species
GGAUGACCGCUGGCGGCGUGCCUACUCCAUGCAAGUCGAGCGAACGGACGAGAAGCUUGCUUCUCUGAUGUUAGCGGCGGACGGGUGAGUAACACGUGGAUAACCUACCUAUAAGACUGGGAUAACUUCGGGAAACCGGAGCUAAUACCGGAUAAUAUUUUGAACCGCAUGGUUCAAAAGUGAAAGACGGUCUUGCUGCCACUUAUAGAUGGAUCCGCGCUGCAUUAGCUAGUUGGUAAGGUAACGGCUUACCAAGGCAACGAUGCAUAGCCGACCUGAGAGGGUGAUCGGCCACACUGGAACUGAGACACGGUCCAGACUCCUACGGGAGGCAGCAGUAGGGAAUCUUCCGCAAUGGGCGAAAGCCUGACGGAGCAACGCCGCGUGAGUGAUGAAGGUCUUCGGAUCGUAAAACUCUGUUAUUAGGGAAGAACAUAUGUGUAAGUAACUGUGCACAUCUUGACGGUACCUAAUCAGAAAGCCACGGCUAACUACGUG